ensembl:lncRNA
CUUAUGGGAGGUUACUUUUGGUAAAAUUCAAAAGCCAGAAAUAUUGGCUGUUUGUCCUGGCUGGAGUCUGCUAACAAGAGAUUUGGUUGAGUCAGUUUAAUUAAAAGCUGAUAUCCAAGCUAUACAUAUAUUUAAAAGGCCUUUUUGUUUUUCUUCUCUUCUUGGAUCUUAUUUUCCCGAAGAAAAAAACUUUUCUUCUUCUCAGUCAACUGAACUGUUUUUCUCCAUUUUGUCUUCCUACCACUCUUGAUGCACACAUGAGAGGAAGUAAGAUAAUUUCCAACAGCCUGGGACUCCUUUGGAAAAACAGAGACAUCACAUUCCCAUGUGUUCCUAUAAACAUGUUUUGGGAAAAACCUCUGUUUUCUUCACGAAACCCCAGGAAUUGAGAGUGGAUAGAUCACUCUCAAAAUCUAAGGCUCUGUCCUGUUUGUGUUGUGUUAUCUGAUGAUUUUGAUGUUUGGGGGUAUCAGAAAUUACUUCGCAUUAUAAGAGAGCUUUCGUAUGUAAUAACUAGGCAGGAAAUAUACUUUUAGGAAUGGCUAAUGGCAGGUAUGGGGGAAUACUUGGCUGUUUGCAUGUUUGGAUCAAAGAAGUGUGCUCUUGGCUACCAGGAAGGUACAGAAACGUCCCCACCCCUAGACUGAGAAAUAAGACUCUCCUGGGGGAUGGGCUGAUUACAGAAUGGGCUGAUUGGCUUUGGGUUGCCUUGAAAUAAAAUGCACUGUAAAAUCAUUGCAUUGUCUUAUUUUGUAGUGUUUCUUUCUUUUGGAGAUCCAGGAUCCAGUAUAGAAAUGGGACCUUUGAUUUUUGGGAUCUGUUUUACCUUCCAGCUGUGUUUGUUUAUUAAGCCCUUGAAACUGCAUGCUUUCCCAGCCCUGUUCCUCCAUGGACUUCACCCUGAAGCCAGCAAUCUAAACAAGAAACAAAAACUGACAAGUGAAAAAAUCUUACAGCUACUGAAUCUUCGGACACAGCUGGAGACACCGGUCAUUUUACCAAGGCUUUGACUGGAAUGGCAUGCUUUCUGAUACAAGCAGACUCCUUUCAGGAAUCAAACUUGACUUAUAGAGCCAAUAAAAGCCCCUUGGGAAAACUGGUUUUAUACCUUGUAUACGCAGUGCCUGUACAGGGUUCCUGACUUGUGGCAAGUAAAGAAUGUCACUUUCUGACAGGCCCAGUAGCUCCAAGUUAUCUUGGGACCUUAAAGGAGUGAAAUUUACCCAACUCAUGGAGGUAUUUGGUGGUACAAACCCGUGGCUCAAGGCUUUAAAAAGAUUCCUUAUGAAAUAAAUUUCCAUCAAAGCCAAUUAAAAAAAAAGAGCCUAUGUGGCAAAUAAUUAUUCUUGCUGUGCUUUAUGCAAAUAAUCAGGCCAAGUAUAAUCAAAGAAAUUGGACCCAUUAUGAUUUGUUUUUAAUAAAAAUGGGAAACUGGGGAGAGAAAAAAUAUGUUUCCACAAUUAUGGUACACCUGUUAUUAAAUUCUCAUUUCAUCAGUUGUUUUUGAGUUUUUUUUUCUGCAAUUUAGACUGACCCUGCUUAUUCCUGUGAACCAACCAGUGAUCUCUGACUCCAGGCCAGAAGAAACAAGAGGGGGCCAGGUGCCCAUAAUCCAGCACCUUGGGAGGCCAGUGCAGGCAAAUCAUGAGGUCAGGAGUUUGAGAUCAGUCUGGCCAACAUAGAGAAACCCUAUCUCUAUGGAAAAUACAAAAAUUAGCCAGGAGUGGUGGCACAUACCUGUAGUCCCAGCUACUCGGAAGGCUGAGGCAGGAGAAGUGCUUGAACCUGGAGGUGGAAUGGUGGAAUUUGCAGUGAGCCGAGAUUGUGCCAUUGCAUUC